rnacentral:rRNA from 1 species
GGAGGAAAAGAAACCAACAGGGAUUGCCUCAGUAACGGCGAGUGAAGCGGCAGCAGCUCAAAUUUGAAAUCUGGCCCCGCUCCGGGGCCCGAGUUGUAAUUUGUAGAGGAUGCUUCGGGCCCGGCCGCGGUCCAAUUCGCUUGGAACAGCGGGUCACAGAGGGUGAGAAUCCCGUCCAGGGCCGCGCGCCGCGCCCGUGUGAAGCUCCUUCGACGAGUCGAGUUGUUUGGGAAUGCAGCUCUAAGUGGGUGGUAAAUUCCAUCUAAAGCUAAAUAUGGGCCAGAGACCGAUAGCGCACAAGUAGAGUGAUCGAAAGAUGAAAAGCACUUUGAAAAGAGAGUUAAACAGUAUGUGAAAUUGUUGAAAGGGAAGCGCUGGCAACCAGACUUGCGCGGGACGGUUCCCCCGAUCCUCUGAUCGGGCUACUCCGUCCCGGACAGGCCAGCAUCGGUUCGGGUGGUCGGUGAAAGGCCCCGGGAAUGUAUCUACCUUCGGGUCGACUUAUAGCCCGGGGCGCAACGCGGCCCACCGGGACCGAGGAACGCGCUCCGGCACGGAUGCUGGCGUAAUGGUUGUCAGCGGCCCGUCUUGAAACACGGACCAAGGAGUCUAACAUCUGUGCGAGUGUUUGGGUGUCAAACCCCGACGCGGAAUGAAAGUGAACGGAGAUAAGACCCCCGCCCGGGGCGCAUUAUCGACCGAUCCUGAUGUCUUCGGAUGGAUUUGAGUAAGAGCAUAGCUGUUGGGACCCGAAAGAUGGUGAACUAUGCCUGGAUAGGGUGAAGCCAGAGGAAACUCUGGUGGAGGCUCGCAGCGGUUCUGACGUGCAAAUCGAUCGUCAAAUCUGGGUAUAGGGGCGAAAGUAGGUGAUAUACAUUGGUAUCGUGGAGGGUGGACGCUAAUCUCGUGUGUUUUUUUAGGACCAAUCGAACCAUCUGGUAGCUGGUUCCUGCCGAAGUUUCCCUCAGGAUAGCAGUAACGUGAUCAGUUUUAUGAGGUAAAGCGAAUGAUUAGAGGCCUUGGGGUUGAAACAACCUUAACCUAUUCUCAAACUUUAAAUAUGUAAGAAGUCCUUGUUGCUUGGUUGAACGUGGACAUUCGAAUGGAUCGUUACUAGUGGGCCAUUUUUGGUAAGCAGAACUGGCGAUGCGGGAUGAACCGAACGUGAGGUUAAGGUGCCGGAAUGUACGCUCAUCAGACACCACAAAAGGUGUCAAUGCAUCCAGACAGCCGGACGGUGGCCAUGGAAGUCGGAAUCCGCUUAGGAGUGUGUAACAACUCACCGGCCGAAUGCAUUGGCCCUGAAAAUGGAUGGCGCUUAAGCGUGCUACCUAUACCUCGCCGUUGGGGUUGAAGUGAGGCCCCAACGAGUAGGCAGGCGUGGGGGUCCGUGACGAAGCCUCGGGGGCGACCCCGGGUCGAACGACCCCCAGUG